CUACGUGCCAGCAGCCGCGGUAAUACGGAGGGUGCGAGCGUUAAUCGGAAUAACUGGGCGUAAAGGGCACGCAGGCGGUGACUUAAGUGAGGUGUGAAAGCCCCGGGCUUAACCUGGGAAUUGCAUUUCAUACUGGGUCGCUAGAGUACUUUAGGGAGGGGUAGAAUUCCACGUGUAGCGGUGAAAUGCGUAGAGAUGUGGAGGAAUACCGAAGGCGAAGGCAGCCCCUUGGGAAUGUACUGACGCUCAUGUGCGAAAGCGUGGGGAGCAAACAGGAUUAGAUACCCUGGUAGUCCACGCUGUAAACGAUGUCGAUUUGGGGAUUGGGCUUUGAGCUUGGUGCCCGUAGCUAACGUGAUAAAUCGACCGCCUGGGGAGUACGGCCGCAAGGCUAAAACUCAAAUGAAUUGACGGGGGCCCGCACAAGCGGUGGAGCAUGUGGUUUAAUUCGAUGCAACGCGAAGAACCUUACCUACUCU
rnacentral:rRNA from 1 species